rnacentral:lncRNA from 1 species
GUCAACCGACUGCGCUAGGAGGCGUGCCGCGGAGUCCUAUUCUGAGACAGACGCCAGGUGGCUACCCAUUGCCAGGCAGCAAGGCCGGAGGACGCCGUGCAGCACGCUUGUAGAUUUUCAGUGGAAACUGGGUAUGGCUGUGAGCUCAGACACUUGCAGAUCUCUUAAGUAUCCUUACGUUGCAGUGAUGCUAAAAGUGGCAGAUCAUUCAGGCCAAGUAAAGACCAAGUGCUUUGAAAUGACGAUUCCACAGUUUCAGAAUUUCUACAGACAGUUCAAGGAAAUUGCUGCAGUUAUUGAAACGGUGUGAAGACGGAUUCUUUGGUUGAUAAAUUGCUAUCAUUCUAAAGUCAUGGACUUCACUUUCGGCAACAAAACUAAAUAAGGAUGGAACAUUUAUUGAAUGAAAAAUGCACUUUUGUUUUUCCAUUUUUUUAAAUAAUAAAAAUCAGACAAACAGGAA